rnacentral:rRNA from 1 species
AACGAACGCUGGCGGCGUGGAUAAGACAUGCAAGUCGAACGCUAAUUGCGAAGUAGCAAUAUUUCGUAGUUGGAGUGGCGCAAGGGUGCGUAACACGUGGGUAAUUUGCCGUGAAGCUCGGAAUAACUCGCUGAAAGGCGAGCUAAUACCGAAUGUGAUUAUUGGGAGGCAUCUCCUGAUACUUAAAGCUGGGGACCGUAAGGCCUGGCACUUCACGAUAAGCCCGCGGCCUAUCAGCUAGUUGGUGAGGUAACGGCUCACCAAGGCUAAGACGGGUAGCUGGUCUGAGAGGACGACCAGUCACACUGGAACUGAGACACGGUCCAGACACCUACGGGUGGCAGCAGUCGAGAAUUUUUCUCAAUGGGCGAAAGCCUGAAGGAGCGACGCCGCGUGGGGGAUGAAUGGCUUCGGCCCGUAAACCCCUGUCAUUUGCGAACAAACCUUAUCAUUUAAAAGAUGAUGAGCUGAUUGUAGCGAAAGAGGAAGGGACGGCUAACUCUGUG